UAUUUUCCCUCUGCCACAAACAACAUAGAAACACAUAGAACAGUGACAUUAAUAAAAUAGGUUUAAGUAAACAAUUUAUGCCUGUCUUUUCGACUUGUCAAAUGUACAGGCUGUGUCUGGUAAUUGUAAAAAAUGGUUGCCAAUUGUAUAUGUUGAUCAUUACAAGAAAGUAAGAAAAUGGUUGUGUUUAGUAAUUCUAAAUUAAAGAAAAAACACAUUAUAUAAAUAUUUAAUAUAAUAAUAGAUUGUUUGCUUAAUUGUACAUGUUCUUUUGCGAGAAAACUAGUUGUGACAUUUUCACGCCGAAAAUUCAAAAACAUUCAACAACGCCUUAUUCCUCUUGCUUGCAGUUAUUGAUCAAUCGUAACCGUUAAUUUUUUUUCACUAUGUAUAUGAACUAUGUACAUUUUGGCUUCUAUGAUAUAUUUUUAUAUUAUUUAAUCUGAAAACAUUAGUUUCUGUUAGUACUGCAAUAAGUAACACACAAGCGAAGAGGAAGACUAGAUCGCAUCAAUUGCUCAAUUCAUCAAUCCUGGAUACUCCACCUCCCACAAUAGAAUCCAAAGCAUUACAGAGGGUCAAAAAGACAAUACCAUAUUUGGCAAAAGUUUAACUCGUCGUUUUCAAGAGUAUUCAUAGCGAGGUGUGCAAAACUUUGCUUGACACAGUAAGCAAGUUUUAUGCAAUGAUUUAACUAAAAUAUACGGACAUAUUGCACCUUUCUUUAGAUGACAUUAAGGAGUUGAAGAAAAUUAAAAAUUAAACGAAUUCCAGGUAAAAUUAAGAAAAUAUAUAAGAAAAUCACACCCUGGUUAAAACAAAGAAGCACAUUUCCAAGAAAAUCAAUAAAUCAAUCCAUUAGCUAAAUUCUUAGAAAAAGAAAUGCAUGAAAGAUCAGGAGAAACACGAACAAAGUGUUUAUAUGGCUAAUAAAUUGUUCCACCUCCUCUCGAACUUUUCUACUAGAGUAAAAAAAGAACAUGUAAAAUAUUUUUGCGACACAAAUUCUUUAUUUAAUUGAA